CCUACGGGAGGCAGCAGUGGGGAAUAUUGCACAAUGGGGGGAAACCCUGAUGCAGCGACGCCGCGUGGAGGAAGAAGGUCUUCGGAUUGUAAACUCCUGUUGUUGGGGAAGAUGAAUGACGGUACCCAACAAGGAAGUGACGGCUAACUACGUGCCAGCA
rnacentral:rRNA from 1 species